UGCCGGAUCCGGGGGACGGGGUGCCGGACGAGCCCAGGACGGAGCCGGCUCCCUCUGGGGCUGGGCGGCUCCCAGCCCGGGAUUCCUCCCACUGAAUUCAUGAUGAUUUUUAUAAAACAGGAGAAUGUCCUAAAAAUGUCCCACGUUACAUCCAAAAUAGAGACUUUUCAAUCCAAUAAGGUUCACCAGCUGGAUAGAUAGACUGUAAGCACUGCACCAAAUUCAACCUUUUCCUCCAGAGAAAAAACACUGAGCCCAGAAGCACCAUCAAUUUUCAGGCAAAUGUUUUGGAUUUUUUUUUUCUUCAAAACCUCUUUUUCCUCAUGAUCUUCUCUCUCUUUCACUUACACCCCUUGUUUUCACAGACACACCAACAUCCAGAGUAUCAGCAUUUCCCCCCACCAGACAGUACAGUUUUCCUCCACAAGUGAAAUGAACAAUCACAUCCAAGGUAGCUUUAGGAAGGUAUAAGAGAGAGAAAGCCAGAGAGCUAUGCUCUGCCUAGAAGCAGAGAUUUCUCUCUCUGCUACUGGUGCUGUGGUAACUUGUUUCCUUCACUAAGGUUUGUAACUGAGUUAAAAGAAAUCCUCCAAAAAUAUCAGGAUCCAGUCUCUGGGAGGAGCUUCCGAGUCCCUUGCAGCCAAUAUCCUUCUGCCCAUUUGUGCCUGACAGUUUUGUGAGGGAAAGGAAGACUCUGGCUAUAUAACACUCCUUGGUCAGCAGAGGAGCUGCAGAACGUUUGCAACUGACGCCCCUGAAGCCUUUGAAAAUACUGUCAAAGCUUCACUGCAGUUCUGUGCAAUAGGUUAGCUGUUGAGGAGGUUCCAUUUUAUUUUGCAGUGUUUCUUGAUUGACAUUUGUGAUUUUUUUUCUUCUUAAAAACAAACAAAACCCCAGCCACCUUGUUGCUUCCCUGCAGUUAUUGGUUAGUUGCCAAUAUCCAGGGCUUUAAUGAACACUAUUUUUGCAAGUGUUCCAAAUAUUGUAUAAAUAAUCAUGAAAGGAAAGCAGGCUGGAAUGUUUGCCACAUCUAUAACAGUCACUGGAAUCUCUUUGUCUGUGUUAUUGUUUUGAAUGUAUUAAUUAAACUUGCAAUAAAGGGCAUGUUACAGUGACUUGUUAACAAUCAAA